AAAAAUAAUUUGGAAAUAAAAACAUGCAUACACUGGCUGAUUCUUGUUGGUUAGAUUAACCUGACUCCAGAUUGCUUCCAGUAUGGCACUUGAUCUCUUUCUGAAGCAAUCACAUCUCUCAAGUUUGUAACCACAACAUGGAACAAGGGUGGCAUAGAACAGCAAGAAUUACACCACAGCAAGAGUUAGCUGUAAAAAAUGGCCAUGACAUUAUUAGUCACAGCUUAUACAGUUUGAUGUGGUACAGGAGAAACAGAGAUCUAGACAUGACAUAGCUGAGAUGCUAAUAACAACCACUCAGUCAGCAUAUUGUGAAAUAAAAGCUGGUGGGCUCAAUUCAGGCUCACCACAGAUUCUGUAAGAGUACGGGCGCUAAUCAUCAACAUGUACAUGCAGCAAGCAUGACAGACUGCGGACUGGAGAAGACGCCACUUUAAAACCCUAGGAAGUUCCCCCAAUAGGGAAGCCAAUCCUGCUAUGGAACUAGCCCAAUGCUUCUAGCAAUGUAACAGUUGGGCAGAAGAGUGUGUCUACCUCCCUGCCAAACUACUGCAGCUGCAAUCAAUUUAACAAGGCAGUACAGAUAUGCCCCAGCCAGAUCUCAUUGCCUUCCUCUAACAGGUUAAUACAACUAGAUCUGAAUGCCUCUUUAGAAUAACUCUAAAGAUAACAUCCAGGCGCUGUUCCAGAUCUUGGGAAAAUUUUUAAUGUUGGGGACUCCUAGCUCAUAUGGAACUCCUUGCUCAUGCAGCCAAUAUCUGACUUAACUCCAUAAGAAACAAUAAAGAUGUGCAUGGAUUUGUUUACUUUCAUCUUCUCUACAUCUACAUUGACACAAUCCAUGGCACUAAGCCAUAUCUGUCUUUCCAGAAGGUUAGAUGGCAAGAUAGCAACGCCCUGAAAAUACUGAAAGAGGAGCCAAUGAAAGUGCAGAAUUGGUGAGACUGGGGCUUUUCUGCUUGCCAAGGCUGUCAUGUUCUCACUUAACAAAGACAGUAGGCAUCUGCUUACUGAAAUUGCAUUGGAGUAAGGCCUUAUUAUUUUCCCACAGUAUUUCAACAGCUAUUUCUCUGUGGUCAACUAAGAAAGGCCUGCCUUCUUAAUGUCUUUAUUCACCCACAGCACAGACAAACAAAAUUGUCCAAGACUGAACAAACCUUCAUCGACAUGCACUGGAAACUUAGCAACCCAGAAUCUUCCCAGCCUGGUGGCAAGAGGCAGUUAGCCAAAUAGGUGAUGCCUUUAAUCAAUGAGUUAUCUCUUUGCCAUAUUCAUUCAGCAUGCAGAGGCCUGCUUUGAAAUGUAUGUGCCAGGAGAGGCAUUCAGUGCCUCAGCCACAUAAAGUAGCAGGUGGUGAUUCAAUUGCUCUUUCCCUGUCCAUACGGCGACUCAGCUGACAAUCAAAAAAAAUGAAGAGGCAUUAUUCUCAUUCAGGGCCUGAAUAUCUUAAAUGAACCAAGUCUUGCCUGAUCUUGGAGGCUAAGCAAAGUCAACUACUUUGAGGAGAGAUCACCAAUGAAUAUCAGGUACUGUGGACCCUGUUUUUAGAACUAAGAUCUGGCAAAAUUACCUCUGAGAAGCCCUUGCUUAACAAAACCCUAUGAAUUCAUGGGGUUGCUAUAGUUUGAUUGGCAAUGUGAAGCAGAUAUAUGCACACACAGAGAUUCUCCUUUCAUGACAGUAUGGUUGCUUAUGAAAUGAAGAAUGCGUGCCAACUGCUAAAACCCAGAAACUCAAUCAGUGGCUGAUACUGGAUGAAAAAUUCCCUUCUGGGCACAAAGAAGACUGGGCAACUUGGAAGGCACUGAACAGACUGUGUUCUGGUACCAUGAGAUGCAGAGCCAAUCUUAAGAAAUGGGCCUUUAAAGUGGAAUCUGCAACACGUGAGUGUGGAGAAGAGCAAACCACAGACCACUUACUGCAGUCUGAGCCCCACCACAUGCACAAUGGAGGACCUUCUUAUAGCAGCACCAGAGGCACUCAAAGUGGCCAGUUUCAGAUCAAAGGAAAUUUAGUAUAAUGUCAAGGUUUGUUUUUAACUGUUUGUGGUUUUUAACUUUAUUUGUGGUUUUUAUACAUUAUAACUGUAUCCUCAAUUCGCUUCUGACAAGAUAAAUAAAUAACAAAUUGCUGAAGGUACAUUUAUGUACUUAGACCAUCACAAUUAUGCCUUGUAGGUAGCUGUGAAAGCAGCCAAGGUUGCCUCAAUGAUAAUGAGAAAUGAAGACCUUAUCUCAAGCUGUAAAUGGGGAGAAAGAAUGCUGGAAAAUAUUUUCCAAAAUAUUUAGCCUCUGGUGCCCAAACUCCACACCUUGACAGUGGAAGGAGCUUCAAUGUGAUGGGUGCUAAUUAAAAAAUAGAAUAAAAAUGAAAUGUAAAUUGUGUCUAAAUCAAUAAAGGAUUAUGUUUCAGCCAA